GCUCGUGUAGCUCAGUGGAAGAGCACCCAUUUAGUAAGCGGGAGGUCUCGAGAUCAAAACUCGACAUGAGCA
rfam:Volvox carteri f. nagariensis unplaced genomic scaffold VOLCAscaffold_124, whole genome shotgun sequence.